GGUUAAGCGACUAAGCGUACACGGUGGAUGCCCUGGCAGUCAGAGGCGAUGAAGGACGUGCUAAUCUGCGAUAAGCGUCGGUAAGGUGAUAUGAACCGUUAUAACCGGCGAUUUCCGAAUGGGGAAACCCAGUGUGAUUCGUCACACUAUCAUUAACUGAAUCCAUAGGUUAAUGAGGCGAACCGGGGGAACUGAAACAUCUAAGUACCCCGAGGAAAAGAAAUCAACCGAGAUUCCCCCAGUAGCGGCGAGCGAACGGGGAGCAGCCCAGAGCCUGAAUCAGUGUGUGUGUUAGUGGAAGCGUCUGGAAAGGCGCGCGAUACAGGGUGACAGCCCCGUACACAAAAAUGCACAUACUGUGAGCUCGAUGAGUAGGGCGGGACACGUGGUAUCCUGUCUGAAUAUGGGGGGACCAUCCUCCAAGGCUAAAUACUCCUGACUGACCGAUAGUGAACCAGUACCGUGAGGGAAAGGCGAAAAGAACCCCGGCGAGGGGAGUGAAAAAGAACCUGAAACCGUGUAUGUACAAGCAGUGGGAGCACGCUUAGGCGUGUGACUGCGUACCUUUUGUAUAAUGGGUCAGCGACUUAUAUUCUGUAGCAAGGUUAACCGAAUAGGGGAGCCGAAGGGAAACCGAGUCUUAACUGGGCGUUAAGUUGCAGGGUAUAGACCCGAAACCCGGUGAUCUAGCCAUGGGCAGGUUGAAGGUUGGGUAACACUAACUGGAGGACCGAACCGACUAAUGUUGAAAAAUUAGCGGAUGACUUGUGGCUGGGGGUGAAAGGCCAAUCAAACCGGGAGAUAGCUGGUUCUCCCCGAAAGCUAUUUAGGUAGCGCCUCGUGAAUUCAUCUCCGGGGGUAGAGCACUGUUUCGGCAAGGGGGUCAUCCCGACUUACCAACCCGAUGCAAACUGCGAAUACCGGAGAAUGUUAUCACGGGAGACACACGGCGGGUGCUAACGUCCGUCGUGAAGAGGGAAACAACCCAGACCGCCAGCUAAGGUCCCAAAGUCAUGGUUAAGUGGGAAACGAUGUGGGAAGGCCCAGACAGCCAGGAUGUUGGCUUAGAAGCAGCCAUCAUUUAAAGAAAGCGUAAUAGCUCACUGGUCGAGUCGGCCUGCGCGGAAGAUGUAACGGGGCUAAACCAUGCACCGAAGCUGCGGCAGCGACGCUGAUGCGUUGUUGGGUAGGGGAGCGUUCUGUAAGCCUGCGAAGGUGUGCUGUGAGGCAUGCUGGAGGUAUCAGAAGUGCGAAUGCUGACAUAAGUAACGAUAAAGCGGGUGAAAAGCCCGCUCGCCGGAAGACCAAGGGUUCCUGUCCAACGUUAAUCGGGGCAGGGUGAGUCGACCCCUAAGGCGAGGCCGAAAGGCGUAGUCGAUGGGAAACAGGUUAAUAUUCCUGUACUUGGUGUUACUGCGAAGGGGGGACGGAGAAGGCUAUGUUGGCCGGGCGACGGUUGUCCCGGUUUAAGCGUGUAGGCUGGUUUUCCAGGCAAAUCCGGAAAAUCAAGGCUGAGGCGUGAUGACGAGGCACUACGGUGCUGAAGCAACAAAUGCCCUGCUUCCAGGAAAAGCCUCUAAGCAUCAGGUAACAUCAAAUCGUACCCCAAACCGACACAGGUGGUCAGGUAGAGAAUACCAAGGCGCUUGAGAGAACUCGGGUGAAGGAACUAGGCAAAAUGGUGCCGUAACUUCGGGAGAAGGCACGCUGAUAUGUAGGUGAAGUCCCUCGCGGAUGGAGCUGAAAUCAGUCGAAGAUACCAGCUGGCUGCAACUGUUUAUUAAAAACACAGCACUGUGCAAACACGAAAGUGGACGUAUACGGUGUGACGCCUGCCCGGUGCCGGAAGGUUAAUUGAUGGGGUCAGCGCAAGCGAAGCUCUUGAUCGAAGCCCCGGUAAACGGCGGCCGUAACUAUAACGGUCCUAAGGUAGCGAAAUUCCUUGUCGGGUAAGUUCCGACCUGCACGAAUGGCGUAAUGAUGGCCAGGCUGUCUCCACCCGAGACUCAGUGAAAUUGAACUCGCUGUGAAGAUGCAGUGUACCCGCGGCAAGACGGAAAGACCCCGUGAACCUUUACUAUAGCUUGACACUGAACAUUGAGCCUUGAUGUGUAGGAUAGGUGGGAGGCUUUGAAGUGUGGACGCCAGUCUGCAUGGAGCCGACCUUGAAAUACCACCCUUUAAUGUUUGAUGUUCUAACGUGGACCCGUAAUCCGGGUUGCGGACAGUGUCUGGUGGGUAGUUUGACUGGGGCGGUCUCCUCCUAAAGAGUAACGGAGGAGCACGAAGGUUGGCUAAUCCUGGUCGGACAUCAGGAGGUUAGUGCAAUGGCAUAAGCCAGCUUGACUGCGAGCGUGACGGCGCGAGCAGGUGCGAAAGCAGGUCAUAGUGAUCCGGUGGUUCUGAAUGGAAGGGCCAUCGCUCAACGGAUAAAAGGUACUCCGGGGAUAACAGGCUGAUACCGCCCAAGAGUUCAUAUCGACGGCGGUGUUUGGCACCUCGAUGUCGGCUCAUCACAUCCUGGGGCUGAAGUAGGUCCCAAGGGUAUGGCUGUUCGCCAUUUAAAGUGGUACGCGAGCUGGGUUUAGAACGUCGUGAGACAGUUCGGUCCCUAUCUGCCGUGGGCGCUGGAGAAUUGAGGGGGGCUGCUCCUAGUACGAGAGGACCGGAGUGGACGCAUCACUGGUGUUCGGGUUGUCAUGCCAAUGGCACUGCCCGGUAGCUAAAUGCGGAAGAGAUAAGUGCUGAAAGCAUCUAAGCACGAAACUUGCCCCGAGAUGAGUUCUCCCUGACUCCUUGAGAGUCCUGAAGGAACGUUGAAGACGACGACGUUGAUAGGCCGGGUGUGUAAGCGCAGCGAUGCGUUGAGCUAACCGGUACUAAUGAACCGUGAGGCUUAACCUU
rnacentral:rRNA from 1 species